rnacentral:rRNA from 1 species
UACGUAGGGUGCAGGCGUUAAUCGGAAUUACUGGGCGUAAAGCGUGCGCAGGCGGUCUUUUAAGUCAGAUGGGAAAUCCCCGGGCUUAACCUGGGAACUGCGUUUGAAACUGAAAGGCUAGAGUGUGGCAGAGGGGGGUGGAAUUCCACGUGUAGCAGUGAAAUGCGUAGAGAUGUGGAGGAACACCGAUGGCGAAGGCAGCCCCCUGGGCUAACACUGACGCUCAUGCACGAAAGCGUGGGGAGCAAACAGG